rnacentral:rRNA from 1 species
CCUACGGGCGGCAGCAGUGGGGAAUAUUGCACAAUGGGGGAAACCCUGAUGCAGCGACGCCGCGUGAGUGAAGAAGUAUUUCGGUAUGUAAAGCUCUAUCAGCAGGGAAGAAAAUGACGGUACCCGAUUAAGAAGCACCGGCUAACUACGUGCCAGCAGCCGCGGGAAUACGUAGGGGGCAAGCGUUAUCCGGAUUUACUGGGUGUAAAGGGAGCGUAGACGGCAGCACAAGUCUGGAGUGAAAUGCCGGGGCUUAACCCCGGAACUGCUUUGGAAACUGUGCAGCUAGAGUGCAGGAGAGGUAAGUGGAAUUCCGAGUGUAGCGGUGAAAUGCGUAGAUAUUAGGAGGAACACCAGUGGCGAAGGCGGCUUACUGGACUGUAACUGACGUUAAGGCACGAAAGCGUGGGGAGCAAACAGGAUUAGAUACCCUAGUAGUC